UGGUUCUGGCAUCGAUGAAGAACGCAGCGAAAUGCGAUAAGUAAUGUGAAUUGCAGAAUUCAGUGAAUCAUCGAAUCUUUGAACGCACAUUGCGCCCGCCAGCAUUCUGGCGGGCAUGCCUGUUCGAGCGUCAUUUCGACCCUCAAGCCCCCCGCGGCUUGGUGUUGGGGUGCUUCUGCGGCGUAACCGCCGCAGGCCCCGAAAUACAGUGGCGGUCCCCCCGAGGCCCUGAGCGCAGUAACCACUCUCGCUUCUGGCGUCCCGGCGGGCCACCUGCCGUAAAACCCCACAGCGCCCUCGCGGCACCUGUGACCCCACCAAAGGUUGACCUCGGAUCAGGUAGGAAUACCCGCUGA
rnacentral:misc_RNA from 1 species